rnacentral:rRNA from 1 species
AUUGAACGCUGGCGGCAGGCCUAACACAUGCAAGUCGAGCGAGCGGCGGACGGGUGCGUACUGUCUGGGAAACUGCCUGAUGGAGGGGGAUAACUACUGGAAACGGUAGCUAAUACCGCAUUCUAUCAGCUGUGCCCAGAGGGGAUUAGCUAGUAGGUGGGGUAACGGCUCACCUAGGCGACGAUCCCUAGCUGAUCUGAGAGGUUGACCAGCCACACUGGAACUGAGAGACGGUCCAGACUCCUACGGGAGGCAGCAGUGGGGAAUAUUGCACAAUGGGCGCAAGCCUGAUGCAGCCAUGCCGCGUGUGUGAAGAAGGCCUUCGGGUUGUAAAGCUCUUUCAUCGGGGAGGCGUUACCCGCAGAAGAAGCAACGGCUAACUCCGUGCCAGCAGCCGCGGUAAUAC